GGCUCAUUAUAUAAGUUAUCGUUUAUUUGAUAGCACAUUACUACUUGGAUAACCGUGGUAAUUCUAGAGCUAAUACAUGCUAAAAAUCCCGACUUCGGAAGGGAUGUAUUUAUUAGAUUAAAAGCCAACGCCCUUCGGGGCUCUGUGGUGAUUCAUAAUAACUGGUCGAAUCGCAUGGCCUUGCGCCGGCGAUGGUUCAUUCAAAUUUCUUCCCUAUCAACUUUCGAUGCGAGGGUCUUGUCCUCGCAUGGUUGCAACGGGUAACGGAGGGUUAGGGCUCGACCCCGGAGAAGGAGCCUGAGAAACGGCUACUACAUCCAAGGAAGGCAGCAGGCGCGCAAAUUACCCAAUCCCGACACGGGGAGGUAGUGACAAUAAAUACUGAUACAGGGCUCUUUUGGGUCUUGUAAUCGGAAUGAGUACAAUUUAAAUCCCUUAACGAGGAACAAUUGGAGGGCAAGUCUGGUGCCAGCAGCCGCGGUAAUUCCAGCUCCAAUAGCGUAUAUUAAAGUUGUUGUGGUUAAAAAGCUCGUAGUCGAACCUUGGGCCUGGCUGGCCGGUCCCCCUCACCGGGUGCACUGAUCCAGCCGGGCCUUUCCCUCUGUGGAACCCCAUGGCCUUCACUGGCUGUGCGGGGGAAACAGGACUUUUACUGUGAAAAAAUUAGAGUGCUCCAGGCAGGCCUAUGCUCGAAUACAUUAGCAUGGAAUAAUAGAAUAGGACGUGUGGUUCUAUUUUGUUGGUUUCUAGGACCGCCGUAAUGAUUAAUAGGGACAGUCGGGGGCAUCAGUAUUCAGUUGUCAGAGGUGAAAUUCUUGGAUCUACUGAAGACUAACUACUGCGAAAGCAUUUGCCAAGGAUGUUUUCAUUGAUAAGGAACGAAAGUUAGGGGAUCGAAGACGAUCAGAUACCGUCGUAGUCUUAACUAUAAACUAUGCCGACUAGGGAUCGGACGAUGUUAUUAUUUGACGCGUUCGGCACCUUUCGAGAAAUCAAAGUGCUUGGGCUCCAGGGGGAGUAUGGUCGCAAGGCUGAAACUUAAAGAAAUUGACGGAAGGGCACCACCAGGGGUGGAACCUGCGGCUUAAUUUGACUCAACACGGGGAAACUCACCAGGUCCAGACACAGUGAGGAUUGACAGAUUGAGAGCUCUUUCUUGAUUCUGUGGGUGGUGGUGCAUGGCCGUUCUUAGUUGGUGGAGUGAUUUGUCUGCUUAAUUGCGAUAACGAACGAGACCUUAACCUGCUAAAUAGCCCGUACUGCUCUGGCAGUUCGCCGGCUUCUUAGAGGGACUAUCGGCUCAAGCCGAUGGAAGUUUGAGGCAAUAACAGGUCUGUGAUG
rnacentral:rRNA from 1 species